rnacentral:pre_miRNA from 1 species
UUUCUACUCCCUCCGUCCGAAAAUACUUGUCAUGAAAAUGGAUAAAAAGAGAUGUAUCUAAAACUAAAAUACGUCUAGAUACAUUUCCUUUUAUCCAUUUUGAUGACAAGUAUUUCCGGACGGAGGGAGUAUUUG